UACAUGGGGUGCAAACGUUGCUCGGAAUUAUUGGGCGUAAAGCGCACGUAGGCGGUUCGUUAAGUCGGAUGUGAAAGCCCUCGGCUCAACUGAGGAAGUGCACCCGAAACUGCAAAGCUAGAGUCCGGAAGAGGAGAGUGGAAUUCCUGGUGUAGCGGUGAAAUGCGCAGAUAUCAGGAAGAACACCCGUGGCGAAGGCGGCUCUCUGGGACGGUACUGACGCUGAGACGCGAAAGCGUGGGGAGCGAACAGG
rnacentral:rRNA from 1 species